rnacentral:lncRNA from 1 species
GCCUGAAGUUUGAUGAAAUUCCUGGCCUGUUUAGAAUCUUUGUAAUAUCUGCUGAUCACAAAUUUAACUGGGAUGCCCUUGCUACCGACAGAGCAUGUAUUCAAUCCCUCUAGAAUAGAGAGAAGAGUUUCUGUCGACUAAAGGGUAUAAAAGGCCUGAGAUUCUUUAGACUUUAGGCUCAGUAAAUCCCAGGGUAGUUAAGUGUGCUCAGGCAAUUCCCCACCUUCAACCAGAAAUAAAAUGUAUAACUGAAUUAUUUUGGUUGUGUUCUUUUCCCUUCUGCUGUUUUCCCUCUUCAUCUGUACUCAGUAGAGUAGCAUGAGGUUCUCAGUGGCUAGGGGCAGGCAAAUUGUGAGAAAAGGCUGGAAGAAAGGUUGAGGGGAAAGCAUUCUGGAAUUGUCAUUAUCUUGGUGCUUUCUCUUUCAAAACUUUACCUAAAAAUGAAUUGUUCCCAUUGUCUUUUUGAAAAAGGAAGCAUUUGCUUCCCCCACCAAAAACAAAAACAAAAAAACUCCUUCCCUUUUUAAUUUUCUUUCUUUCUCUUAGUUUUCAUUGGACCAUUAAGCUGCCAUCAUUUGGUCAAUACAUCAUUGGACUAAGAAUAUUAUUCUGACUUCCUUUUUUUUUCUUGGAUCCUUUCUGAACUCUGAGGCAGGAUGUGAUGACUCUUGUAGUCUUUAGACCACAAGCUGAAGAGGCCAGGACUUCAUUUAUGCCUUUGGAUGACCAAGUGACGGACAAACCAGUACUGUUAGAUGCUUCCAAGAUGCUGCAGAGAGCCACCUCAACCUUCAGCAAUGUUCAGUCAGCAGCCAUCAACACUGAGACAGGACCCUCCAAAAGCAAAAAGAUCAUGACUUGCUGAAGGCUCAGAUGAUGAUGCCAAAGAAAACCCCUGAUUGGUUCACGGAAUGAAGGAAGUAGAUGGCCACUGAAAAGCUCCUAUUUUUUUUUUCCUGACAUGGGUUUAAGGUGAUUUAGAAAUAAGCAGCUGCAGGAAGUAUGAUGUUUAUCAGUUUAUGGAUGGUGAACAAGGAAAAGCUGACCCAUACAUUUUGAAUUACAUUAAAAAACAUAUUUAUGUGUGCGCACCUUUGUGAGUAUGUGUAAAGAUAUGUGUGUAUGUAUGUAUGUAUGUGGGAGUAUAUGUCUUUGUGUGUAUGUGGA